AUUGUGGUCACUCACCGUUGGAUGUUAAUCCAAUGGUUCAUAAAAGUUUCUUAAAAUGAGUGUAACAGUGAGUGAACCGUUGAAUUUACAUCCAACGGUGAGUGACCACA
rnacentral:miRNA from 1 species